rnacentral:rRNA from 1 species
GACGAACGCUGGCGGCGCGCCUAACACAUGCAAGUCGAACGAGCGAGAGAGAGCUUACUUUCUCAAGCGAGUGGCGAACGGGUGAGUAACGCGUGAGGAACCUGCCUCAAAGAGGGGGGACAACAGUUGGAAACGACUGCUAAUACCGCAUAAGCCCACAGGUCGGCAUCGACCAGAGGGAAAAGGAGCAAUCCGCUUUGAGAUGGCCUCGCGUCCGAUUAGCUGGUUGGUGAGGUAACGGCCCACCAAGGCGACGAUCGGUAGCCGGACUGAGAGGUUGAACGGCCACAUUGGGACUGAGACACGGCCCAGACUCCUACGGGAGGCAGCAGUGGGGAAUAUUGCACAAUGGGGGGAACCCUGAUGCAGCGACGCCGCGUGGAGGAAGAAGGUCUUCGGAUUGUAAACUCCUGUUGUUGAGGAAGAUAAUGACGGUACUCAACAAGGAAGUGACGGCUAACUACGUGCCAGCAGCCGCGGUAAAACGUAGGUCACAAGCGUUGUCCGGAAUUACUGGGUGUAAAGGGAGCGCAGGCGGGAAGACAAGUUGGAAGUGAAAUCUAUGGGCUCAACCCAUAAACUGCUUUCAAAACUGUUUUUCUUGAGUAGUGCAGAGGUAGGCGGAAUUCCCGGUGUAGCGGUGGAAUGCGUAGAUAUCGGGAGGAACACCAGUGGCGAAGGCGGCCUACUGGGCACCAACUGACGCUGAGGCUCGAAAGUGUGGGUAGCAAACAGG